AACGAACGCUGGCGGCAUGCCUAACACAUGCAAGUCGAACGAGACCUUCGGGUCUAGGGGCGCACGGGUGCGUAACGCGUGGGAACCUGCCCUUAGGUUCGGAAUAACUCCCCGAAAGGGGUGCUAAUACCGGAUAAUGUCUUCGGACCAAAGAUUUAUCGCCUUUGGAUGGGCCCGCGUUGGAUUGGCUAGUUGGUAGGGUAAAAGCCUACCAAGGCGACGAUCCAUAGCUGGUCUGAGAGGAUGAUCAGCCACACUGGGACUGAGACACGGCCCAGACUCCUACGGGAGGCAGCAGUGGGGAAUAUUGGACAAUGGGCGAAAGCCUGAUCCAGCAAUGCCGCGUGAGUGAUGAAGGCCUUAGGGUUGUAAAGCUCUUUUACCCGGGAUGAUAAUGACAGUACCGGGAGAAUAAGCUCCGGCUAACUCCGUG
rnacentral:rRNA from 1 species